UGCUUGCGCGCACCUAUGCGCACACGGCGCACACUUCCAGCGCAUUGUAAUACGACAUGUCUUCCGAUAGUAGAAGCUAUUUUCGGCCGAAAACUAUGCACUAUCACUCUGGAAGCAGAGUAGCUUCAUCAUACGAACAUGAUGACGUUUUCGUACUGUCACGGAUAUGAAUACUGAGAGAAUUUAUUGAUAUUGACGAAUGGCAGUUGCAAUAUUUGACGCUGACCAUUUGGCCAUAUCUGCCAUCGUUACCGUUGGACUGCAGUUUAUUUUCUUUGUCAUCGCAGCAACAUUUCAUUUCGACAAAUUAACAGAUUUCGCUGGGGGUGCCAACUUUAUUAUACUGGCCUUAACUGUAUUUGUUUUAUCCCAGACUUAUAGCCCAAGGCAGUGCCUCAUCACUGGCCUCGUCUGUUUGUGGGGUGUGCGUCUAUCAACAUUCCUCCUUUUCCGGAUUAUCAAAAUUGGCAGAGAUGAGAGGUUUCAAGAAGCUAGCAAGAAUAUUGUCCGUUUCGCCAUCUUCUGGACGUUUCAGGUUGGUUGACAAUUCAUCAAUAGCAAUGAAAAGUGCUGCAUAGUUUUCAAAACAGAGAAGCCUUAGCUAUUGACAGUGCAGCCUGAGUAUCACAAGCCACAGACUGGGAGCUGUC
rnacentral:lncRNA from 1 species